rnacentral:rRNA from 1 species
UGGGGAAUAUUGCACAAUGGGCGCAAGCCUGAUGCAGCCAUGCCGCGUGUGUGAAGAAGGCCUUCGGGUUGUAAAGCACUUUCAGCGAGGAGGAAGGUGGUGAACUUAAUACGUUCAUCAAUUGACGUUACUCGCAGAAGAAGCACCGGCUAACUCCGUGCCAGCAGCCGCGGUAAUACGGAGGGUGCAAGCGUUAAUCGGAAUUACUGGGCGUAAAGCGCACGCAGGCGGUUUGUUAAGUCAGAUGUGAAAUCCCCGGGCUCAACCUGGGAACUGCAUUUGAAACUGGCAAGCUAGAGUCUCGUAGAGGGGGGUAGAAUUCCAGGUGUAGCGGUGAAAUGCGUAGAGAUCUGGAGGAAUACCGGUGGCGAAGGCGGCCCCCUGGACGAAGACUGACGCUCAGGUGCGAAAGCGUGGGGAGCAAACAGAUUAGAUACCCUGGUAGUCCAGCGCUGUAAAACGAUGUCGAUUUGGAGGUUGUGCCCUUGAGGCGUGGCUUCCGGAGCUAACGCGUUAAAUCGACCGCCUGGGGGAGUACGGCCGCAAGGUUAAAACUCAAAGGAAUUGAC